rnacentral:tRNA from 1 species
UCCCCCGUGGUGUAAUCAGGCAGCACCCUGAGUUUUGGUCUCAGUAGUCAAGGUUCGAAUCCUUGCGGGGGAG